AUUUUCCCCCUUCCUUUCUUCUGCCUCUAUCCCACUUCGCUUCUCCUUUCUUCGCCUUUACUUCUUCGUAGAGGCUUAACGGAGGCGCCUUCCUUUCCCUUCCUUUCCUCUCCCUCCAUUUCUUCUUUCUUCUUACAGCCUAACAACAAUCUUAAUUUCGGAAUAUUCUGAAAUUUGAAGACUUGUCAAGAUGGUGAAGUUUACGGCUGAAGAGCUUCGUAGGAUUAUGGACUACAAGCAUAACAUUCGUAAUAUGUCUGUUAUUGCUCAUGUUGAUCAUGGGAAGUCCACUCUUACAGAUUCUCUUGUGGCUGCUGCCGGUAUCAUUGCACAAGAAGUUGCCGGUGAUGUACGAAUGACAGAUACUCGCCAAGAUGAGGCAGAGCGUGGUAUCACCAUUAAAUCUACUGGAAUCUCCCUCUACUAUGAGAUGUCUGAUGAAUCCUUGAAAAGUUACAAGGGAGAGAGACACGGAAAUGAGUAUCUUAUCAAUCUUAUUGAUUCACCUGGGCACGUUGACUUCUCGUCGGAGGUUACAGCUGCUUUGCGUAUUACUGACGGUGCCCUUGUUGUGGUGGAUUGCAUCGAAGGUGUUUGUGUCCAAACAGAGACUGUGCUCCGUCAGGCUUUGGGAGAGAGGAUUAGACCCGUCUUGACCGUUAACAAGAUGGAUAGGUGCUUCCUUGAACUUCAAGUGGAUGGAGAAGAGGCUUAUCAAACAUUCCAGAGGGUCAUUGAGAAUGCCAAUGUGAUUAUGGCCACAUAUGAGGAUCCACUUCUUGGCGAUGUUCAAGUGUACCCGGAGAAAGGAACAGUUGCUUUCUCUGCUGGUUUGCAUGGUUGGGCAUUUACCCUGACUAACUUUGCGAAGAUGUAUGCCUCCAAGUUUGGAGUAGAUGAGGCGAAGAUGAUGGAGAGACUUUGGGGUGAGAAUUUCUUUGAUCCUGCAACCAAGAAGUGGACAAGCAAGAACACUGGCACGCCAACAUGCAAGCGUGGGUUUGUCCAGUUCUGCUACGAACCUAUCAAGCAGAUCAUUGCAACUUGCAUGAACGAUCGGAAGGACAAGCUAUGGCCCAUGUUGCAGAAGCUUGGUGUUGUCAUGAAGUCUGAUGAGAAGGAUCUGAUGGGCAAACCACUGAUGAAGCGGGUCAUGCAAACAUGGCUACCAGCAAGUACUGCUCUUUUGGAAAUGAUGAUCUUUCAUCUUCCAUCCCCUGCCAAGGCUCAAAAGUAUCGUGUGGAGAAUUUGUACGAAGGUCCACAAGAUGAUGUUUACGCUAGUGCCAUUAGGAAUUGUGAUCCUGAGGGACCUCUUAUGCUUUAUGUAUCAAAGAUGAUUCCAGCAUCUGAUAAGGGCAGGUUCUUUGCCUUUGGACGUGUGUUCUCUGGGAAAGUUUCAACUGGUUUGAAAGUUAGAAUCAUGGGCCCCAACUAUGUUCCUGGUGAGAAAAAAGAUUUGUAUGUUAAGAGCGUCCAGAGAACUGUCAUUUGGAUGGGAAAGAAGCAAGAAACAGUGGAGGAUGUGCCUUGUGGUAACACUGUUGCCAUGGUUGGGCUGGAUCAAUUUAUCACUAAGAAUGCCACUCUGACAAAUGAAAAGGAAGUCGAUGCUCAUCCAAUUCGAGCCAUGAAGUUUUCUGUAUCUCCCGUCGUGCGUGUUGCCGUUCAGUGCAAGGUGGCCUCUGAUCUUCCCAAGCUUGUGGAAGGACUUAAACGUCUGGCCAAGUCAGACCCUAUGGUUGUGUGUACCAUGGAGGAAUCUGGUGAGCACAUUGUUGCUGGCGCUGGAGAACUACAUCUUGAGAUCUGUUUGAAGGAUUUGCAAGAUGAUUUCAUGGGUGGAGCUGAGAUCAUAAAAUCUGACCCUGUUGUCUCUUUCCGUGAAACCGUACUUGAGAGGUCAUGCCGCACAGUGAUGAGCAAGUCCCCUAACAAGCACAAUCGACUGUACAUGGAAGCACGACCCAUGGAGGAUGGACUGGCAGAGGCUAUUGAUGAUGGCCGCAUUGGACCACGAGAUGAUCCUAAAGUUAGGUCUAAAAUUUUGUCAGAGGAGUUUGCAUGGGACAAAGAUCUUGCUAAGAAGAUUUGGUGCUUUGGUCCUGAGACUACCGGCCCUAACAUGGUGGUUGAUAUGUGUAAGGGAGUUCAAUACCUGAAUGAAAUCAAGGAUUCUGUUGUUGCUGGUUUCCAAUGGGCGUCGAAAGAAGGUGCAUUGGCGGAAGAGAACAUGAGGGGCAUCUGUUUUGAAGUUUGUGAUGUGGUGCUUCACGCUGAUGCCAUCCACAGAGGAGGUGGUCAAGUGAUUCCGACUGCUAGGAGGGUAAUCUACGCUUCUCAGCUGACUGCCAAACCAAGACUUCUUGAGCCAGUGUACCUAGUGGAGAUUCAGGCUCCCGAGCAAGCUCUUGGUGGUAUCUACAGUGUUCUUAAUCAAAAGCGUGGGCACGUCUUUGAGGAAAUGCAGAGGCCUGGCACACCUCUUUACAACAUUAAGGCAUAUCUCCCCGUUAUCGAAUCAUUUGGGUUCUCGAGCACUUUGAGAGCUGCAACUUCUGGCCAGGCAUUCCCACAGUGUGUGUUUGACCAUUGGGAAAUGAUGUCUUCAGAUCCAUUAGAAAGUGGGUCUCAAGCUGCGCAGUUGGUUGCUGAUAUCAGGAAGAGGAAGGGGUUGAAGGAGCAAAUGACCCCACUUUCCGAUUUCGAGGACAAGCUGUAGAUUGCAGUCAUUUUGUUGAAUUUUCAUGCGCCAACAACACAACCUUGUGAAUUCUGAAGCGAAGAGGUUCUAAUUAGUUCCCUAUUUCUAUCAUCAUAUCAUAUAGGAAGACAAGCCUAUCUUUUUGGAAAAAAAUCCUUUUUUUUUUUUUUUUUCAUUUUCAACUGUUUUUUUUACCUUCGUUUUGAGUUUGUAUGGACAACCAAUAUAUAUUCCUGUUGAAAUAUGUUAUGUGGGUCAAAUGUUCUGAACAUGUUAUUGAUCUUCAAAAUUAUCAUCAUCUUUAAUUAAUCAUAUUGAAAUUAGAAUAAACUUUUACAUUUUUGUGUU